ACGUCAAAUCAGCACGGCCCUUACGUCCAGGGCUACACACGUGCUACAAUGGCCGGUACAAAGGGCAGCUACCUGGUGACAGGAUGACUAAUCUACAAAAGCCGGUCUCAGUUCGGAUCGGAGUCUGCAACCCGACUCCGUGAAGCUGGAUUCGCUAGUAAUCGCGCAUCAGCCACGGCGCGGUGAAUACGUUCCCGGGCCUU
rnacentral:rRNA from 1 species